rnacentral:rRNA from 1 species
AUUGAACGCUGGCGGCAUGCCUUACACAUGCAAGUCGAACGGUAACAGGUCUUCGGAUGCUGACGAGUGGCGAACGGGUGAGUAAUACAUCGGAACGUGCCUAGUAGUGGGGGAUAACUACUCGAAAGAGUGGCUAAUACCGCAUGAGAUCUACGGAUGAAAGCAGAGGAUCGCAAGACCUUGUGCUACUAGAGCGGCCGAUGGCAGAUUAGGUAGUUGGUGGGAUAAAAGCUUACCAAGCCGACGAUCUGUAGCUGGUCUGAGAGGACGAUCAGCCGCACUGGGACUGAGACACGGCCCAGACUCCUACGGGAGGCAGCAGUGGGGAAUUUUGGACAAUGGGCGCAAGCCUGAUCCAGCAAUGCCGCGUGCAGGAUGAAGGCCUUCGGGUUGUAAACUGCUUUUGUACGGAACGAAAAGCCCCGGGUUAAUACCCUGGGGUCAUGACGGUACCGUAAGAAUAAGCACCGGCUAACUACGUGCCAGCCGCCGCCGUAA